AGCGAACUGAUUAGAAGCUUGCUUCUAUGACGUUAGCGGCGGACGGGUGAGUAACACGUGGGCAACCUGCCUGUAAGACUGGGAUAACUCCGGGAAACCGGAGCUAAUACCGGAUAACAUUUUCUCUUGCAUAAGAGAAAAUUGAAAGAUGGUUUCGGCUAUCACUUACAGAUGGGCCCGCGGUGCAUUAGCUAGUUGGUGAGGUAACGGCUCACCAAGGCAACGAUGCAUAGCCGACCUGAGAGGGUGAUCGGCCACACUGGGACUGAGACACGGCCCAGACUCCUACGGGAGGCAGCAGUAGGGAAUCUUCCGCAAUGGACGAAAGUCUGACGGAGCAACCCCGCGUGAGUGAUGAAGGCUUUCGGGUCGUAAAACUCUGUUGUUAGGGAAGAACAAGUACAAGAGUAACUGCUUGUACCUUGACGGUACCUAACCAGAAAGCCACGGCUAAACUACGUGCCAGCAGCCGCGGUAAUACGUAGGUGGCAAGCGUUAUCCGGAAUUAUUGGGCGUAAGCGCGCGCAGGCGGUUUCUUAAGUCUGAUGUGAAAGCCCACGGCUUCACCGUGGAGGUCAUUGGAAACUGGGGAACUUGAGUGCAAAAAAGAAAGCGGAUUUCCACGUGUAGCGGUGAAAUGC
rnacentral:rRNA from 1 species